rnacentral:lncRNA from 1 species
UCUUCAGGCGUGCCACCGCUGCCGGGCCUGCUGUACGACCCGCGGGCUCUGGGCCAUGCCUGCUCUUGCGCCCGGCUCAGGAGGACCCUUCUUGAUCCAGGAGUGGACCCUGGUCUCAUUGGAGCCAGUUGGGGUCUUGUGGCGGCCUGUUAGGGAUGUGAUCCAGCGCUUUGGAGGCAGGGCUUCAAGCUGGUAGGGAUGAAGAUCCUGUGGCCGGCCAGAAAGCGUCCUUGCUGAACACUACCAGGACCUGCGAAGGAAGCCCCUCUACCCAGCCCUCCUUAGCUAUGUGAGCUCCAGGCCUGUUGAUGGCCAUGGUCUGGGAAGGGUACAAUGUGAUCCAUGCCUCGAGGGCCAUGAUAGAUACCCUGACAGGGUUGAGGCUGACUCUGUGACCAUAUGGGGAGACUUCAGCGACGUCCACAUCAGCAGGAACAUCAUUCACACCAGCUAUUCAGGGUAGGGGGUCAGAAAGAGAUCCAGCUGUGGUUUGAAAGCAGUGAGCUGGUGAACU